rfam:Torulaspora delbrueckii CBS 1146 chromosome 6, complete genome
AAUCGCGUAGCCUAAUGGUAAGGCGUCUCCCUCCUAAGGAGAAGAUUGCGGGUUCGAGUCCCGUCGCGAUUG